CCUCUCCUUCGCCUUCCUGCCAUAUAUCAGCUUUGGGCAGUCGGACAUGUACAGGAAGCGGGUGCAGAUCUGCGUCUUCCUGCUGGUCUUCCUCGGUCUGCUCGCAGCGUUGGCCGUCCUCUUCUACGUUUACCCGGUGAAGUGUGACUGGUGCGAGUACCUCACCUGCAUCCCCAUCACCGACAAGUUCUGCGAGAAGUACGACCUGAACGCACACCUGCUAUGAACAUCAGCCCGGGAAAAUAAAAGCAAAGACGCUAGAAGAAUAAAUGUCAUCUGUACGGACGCUGGACUGGAUGUUGAUGACGUUCGAUGUGGAGCUAAUUUCCUGGAAUAAUAACCAGGAUUUAAUGUGGAUGUGUUUGUUUCGAAAGGUACAACAGCCCCAUUAUGAGUAAAGGCUGCGCAUGAAAGCCUUCAGGUAUUUAAUUAAAGGUAUUCACACACAUGGGAGACAAACUUUCAAUGGAUUUCUGUGUGAUUGAUCUCUAGCUGGGCUAAUCAAUGACUGUCACACUGGAGGAGUUGUUUCCUGCCAAAAUAUGUACCUUAUUUUGUGUUAAAAAUUGACUGAACAGCACCGCCUAGUGGCCAAAAGGAGCCGUGCAACCAGAGACACUGAAGUGAAUAAGCAAGGGACUUUUCUUUUGUACUUUUGUUUACUGAUGUCCAAACAAUUGUCCAUUUACUGGAUCUCCUCAGAGUUAAACAUGCCAAGAAAUGAGUUUACAAAAUGUGCCUUAUUGACACAAAACCCCACACACAUACACAUCUUUGUGCCAUGAAUCACUUUGUGGCAACAGUUUCAGAUGUUUUGGGUCCUCUUUCUUGACCUUUCCGGAAACUGCGUCACACAAUCUGACAAAGUCAUUUAAAAAAUGUUUUCACAAAUUAUUGAUGGCUGAAUUUCAACUUUUUUGUUAUUUUUGUACCACCCUGAAAAGUUUCCGCCACAGCCUUUAAAGCACUUCAAUCACAAAUGCAUUUUUAUUUUAAUAUUCGCCAAGUGUUUAAUCUGUAAAAAUCACCCUGUAUGUUAAUCUGCUCGUUGUGGAUGGCUCCUACUGAGCUGAAUGUGUGUUUUUAUUCAAUAUGGUGGUGUUUUAGCUACCUGACAAUAAACACAACAAAGCACA